ACGCCUCUUGAACACUUAUAAGAGGUCCAGCCUGCCCAGUGACUUUGUUCAACGGCCGCGGUAUCCUAACCGUGCAAAGGUAGCGUAAUCACUUGUUCAUUAAAUGUGGACUAGUAUGAAUGGCAUCACGAGGGUUAUGCUGUCUCCUUUUUCUAAUCAGUGAAACUAAUCCCCACGUGAAGAAGCGUGGAUCAAACUAUAAGACGAGAAGACCCUAUGGAGCUUUAAACAAUAAAGCAUUUGUUAAAUACUAAACCUUUAAAUACCUACUUCAUCAAACAAUAUGACUUUAAGUUUUUGGUUGGGGUGACCGUGGAGCAUAACACAACCUCCAUAUUGAAAGAAGCAUUUUCUAAGCUAAGAACUACAUAUCUAGGCAUCAAUAUAUUAACACUCAUUGACCCAAUACAUUUGAACAACGAACCAAGUUACCCUAGGGAUAACAGCGCAAUCCUCUUCAAGAGCCCCUAUCGACAAGUGGGUUUACGACCUCGAUGUUGGAUCAGGGUAUCCUAGUGGUGCAGCCGCUACUAAAGGUUCGUUUGUUCAACGAUUAAAACCCUACGU
rnacentral:rRNA from 1 species